AGAUCACUAGAGUGUACAAAAAUAAGUAACAUGCUGAAGUCGAAUUCACUGUGGGUCCCAUACCUAUUGGUGAUGGAGUUGGGAAAGAGAUUGCGACCAAGAUCUCAACCACCAUAAAGAGUAACGAAACAUUUUACACUGAUUCUAACGGUCGAGAUUUCAUUGAAUGGAUUCGAGACUAUAGAGCAGACUGGGAUCUUGAAGUGAAUCAACCUAUUGCAGGAAACUAUUAUCCCGUGCGUUCUUUUAACUUUUUGAUUAAUUUUCAUACGUUACUCGAGCUGGAUUACACAUGUUCAACUUAAGUUAAAUUAUUUUCCAGAACAAUCUUGGAAUUUACCUAAAAGAUGAAAAAAGUGAGCUCUUGGUUUUGGUAGAUAGAUCCGUUGGUGGAUCAAGCAUUGUUGACAGUGAAUUGGAGUUGAUGCUUCAUAGGAGAUUGCUCUAUGAUGAUGGAAAAGGUGUCGCAGAAGCUAUAAAUGAAACAGUUUGUGUCGGUAACGACUGUUGAGGAUUAGCUGU